UACAACUGCCUACGUAACAGGGCUUUCUUUUCUCUUCCUUUUCUUCAUCUUUUUCCUUCCCUCUCUCUCUCUAAGCUGAUGGAAACCGAGAGCUAAGGAAGGCAACAAAUUGGUGCGUUGGAGGUUGAUUGGAACUGCAGGGAAAGUUUUUGAAGCUGAAGGUAACCUGGGGGAGACAUCUAAUUAAGCCACCAGGUUGAAGUUUUCAACUGAGAAAAAGUGGUCUAGCUGUUGGGGCUGAAGGAAAAACUGGUGGAAUCCUCAAUUAAGGAUUUGUAAUUUAGUGAAUUGAUGGGCAAACUUGAAUUUCGAGCAUGUAGAAGCUGCGAGUAAUCAGAGCUGAAGUUCGGACUUGUUGGAGUUGACGAAUUAAGAAAUUCAAAUCAGGAAGUCGAGACUUGAGGUAGAGAAGUCCUAAGCGGUGGCUGCUGCCUAGGUGGUGCAGGACUUGGGCACCCCAAGUUGAAAAAGCCUUAGUGGAGCUUCUUUAGUAAUUCAAGCUGCAACAAAUCUGGUGGAGCCUGGAAUUUAGGUUAAACGUGCUCAGAAGUUCGAAUUGACAUUUCGACGAUCCUACGACGCGCUAUUUAAGAAACGCUUCGUUCUAGCUCUAAUUGCACCGCGUCGCGAGAGCUCGUUGUCGACGCGUUUCGAGACGUUGAGCUGUGUUGAUUGGCAUCCCUACAGAUGGGUGGUGCUAUCCGAAGUCAUCGAAUCCCUCUUUAUGUCUAUGUUGCCUUCUUGAGCAUAUCUGUAUAUGAGUAAAAUAAUAUUCAUGCAUUAUAGGGUAAAUGGCAUUAUCUGUUUAUGAAAUGAAUGAUUGAGCAAAUCUCAGUAUUAAGAACAUGUGAACCAUAGCGUGUGGACCUAGAACUCUAUGAAUGUGUGAAUUUUACUGUGGACUAUAACAAUAGUAAAUUUGGUGA